UACGUAGGGGGCGAGCGUUGUCCGGAGUUACUGGGCGUAAAGCGCACGCAGGCGGUGCUGCGCGUUUGGGGUUACAGCUCCCGGCUCAACCGGGAGAGCGCCUCGAAGACGGCAGCACUUGAGGGCCAGAGAGGGACACGGAACUCCGGGUGGAGUGGUGAAAUGCGCAGAUAUCAGGAAGAACACCGACGGCGAAGGCAGCUCGCUGGGACGGUACUGACGCUGAGGCGCGAAAGCGUGGGGAGCGAACAGG
rnacentral:rRNA from 1 species